CCUACGGGUGGCAGCAGUAGGGAAUAUUGCUCAAUGGGGGAAACCCUGAAGCAGCAACGCCGCGUGGAGGAUGAAGGUUUUAGGAUUGUAAACUCCUUUUGUGAGAGAAGAUAAUGACGGUAGCUCACGAAUAAGCACCGGCGAACUCCGAUCCAGCGGCCGCGGGAAUACGGAGGGUGCAAGCGUUACGCGGAAUCACUGGGCGUAAAGAGUGCGCAGGGGGGGUGGUAAGUCAGGUGGUAAAUCCUGUAGCUUACCUAACGAACUGCAUGUGAAACUAUGAGUCUAGAGUGUGGGAGCGCUAGGUGGAAUUCUUGGUGUAGGGGUAAAAUCCGUAGAUAUCAAGAGGAAUACUCAUUGCGAAGGCGACCUACUGGAACAUGACUGACGCUCAUGCACGCAAGCGUGGGGAGCAAACAGGAUUAGAUACCCCGGUAGUC
rnacentral:rRNA from 1 species